rnacentral:rRNA from 1 species
AUUGAACGCUGGCGGCAGGCCUAACACAUGCAAGUCGAGCGAGCGGCGGACGGGUGAGUAAUGUCUGGGAAACUGCCUGAUGGAGGGGGAUAACUAAUGGAAACGGUAGAUAAUACCGCGUCCAAUCAGCAGUGACCAGAUGGGAGUAGCUAGUGGGUGGGGUAAAGGCUCACCUAGGAGACGAUCCCUAGCUGGUCUGAGAGGAUGACCAGCCAAACUGGACCUGAGACACGGCACAGAGUCCUACGGGAGGCAGCAGUGGGGAAUAUUGCACAAUGGGCGCAAGCCUGAUGCAGCCAUGCCGCGUGUGUGAAGAAGGCCUUCGGGUUGUAAAGCACUUUCAGCGGGGAGGCGUUACCCGCAGAAGAAGCACCGGCUAACUCCGUGCCAGCAGCCGCGGUAAAUC